UGGAAGAUUAAGCUUCGCCAGGAAGCGGUGGAACAGCGUGGACCACUCGUUCUUUUCUUCGUGGGACACUGGGGCAAACCACAGCGACUGUCACUGAGAACUGCAUUCUCUCUCCCGACCCUGAAUUACAGACCAAUGUAGGAGGGUGCUCUGCAACCCGGGCAAAGACGCUUUAAGUUCGAGCCGCCGGGUCGGGAGACCGGUGGAGGGGUGCACGCCACAAGAGCUGAUCUCCAGAUAUCUGAAAUCCCAGGUGGCCAAGGCCCGGGUCUCCCAGGACACCUCACCACCGCGUGCCACCCAGAUCUCCUCCGGUGGAGCUCAAGAAGUACAAGUUUUACGGAGAAGCAAAGUGCAAGAUUUGAGCGCCGCGGAGGAUGGCCGCGGUCCAGAGGGGCGCUGGGGAGACUGUCUCGCGAGUCACCAGAGAGUCCUCAGUCUGGGGGAAUGGACUCCAUUGGUCAGUCCGGCAGCCUCAUCUCUGGUGGCCUUGGGCCCACCCUCCGUUACCUUAUUUCCCCACUCUCGAACCUCACUACCCCGCAGGAGCUCAGUCCGAAUGAGGAGGGUAUCCACUACUAUAGAUCAGUUCCCCAUCGACCAGCUCCGGCGCACGAAAAAAUAAAAAUGAAUAAA
rnacentral:lncRNA from 1 species